AAAUUGAAGAGUUUGAUCAUGGCUCAGAUUGAACGCUGGCGGCAGGCCUAACACAUGCAAGUCGAGCGGUAGCACAGAGAGCUUGCUCUCGGGUGACGAGCGGCGGACGGGUGAGUAAUGUCUGGGAAACUGCCUGAUGGAGGGGGAUAACUACUGGAAACGGUAGCUAAUACCGCAUAAUGUCGCAAGACCAAAGUGGGGGACCUUCGGGCCUCAUGCCAUCAGAUGUGCCCAGAUGGGAUUAGCUAGUAGGUGGGGUAACGGCUCACCUAGGCGACGAUCCCUAGCUGGUCUGAGAGGAUGACCAGCCACACUGGAACUGAGACACGGUCCAGACUCCUACGGGAGGCAGCAGUGGGGAAUAUUGCACAAUGGGCGCAAGCCUGAUGCAGCCAUGCCGCGUGUGUGAAGAAGGCCUUCGGGUUGUAAAGCACUUUCAGCGGGGAGGAAG
rnacentral:rRNA from 1 species